rnacentral:lncRNA from 1 species
CAAAAUUGUCACGUUUGGAUUUAAUAUUUUUAGAAUUUAGACGGUCGCAAAUUAAAGUGCAACUCGAACGCUGUGUGGCACCUGUCGAAACGAUGAGAGUUGCGAGAACUUAAUCCAUUUUUAAUGCUGGACUGACUCACUCGAAACGCUCUCGAAGGCGCAACUUUGCCACUCAAUGCACUUGAGUGCGGGCUGGAGGUAGAAGGCGGAAAGGAAAUCAAAAGUUAAAAUAAACUUCGUUGUCCUUGCCGCCAGUUGUAGUCCGCGUCGCCGGUGCCGUUUGUUGUGCUUUUUUCGGUGGGGGGCCUGCUGUUGCAGCUCCUUAUAAAGUUGCCGGAAAUCCGGUUGUUGUCUUCGGCAUUCAUUUUUCGUCCUUAUGCAAUGCACUUCUCCAGCUCCAGCUCCACCUUCUGCAGCCACCAUGCCAUGG